rnacentral:rRNA from 1 species
AAGACUCUCGGCAGCGGAUAUCUCGGCUCUUGCAUCGAUGAAGAACGUAGCGAAAUGCGAUACUUGGUGUGAAUUGCAGAAUCCCGUGAACCAUCGAGUCUUUGAACGCAAGUUGCACCCGAAGCCAUUAGGCUGAGGGCACGCCUGCCUGGGUGUUGCACAU